rnacentral:lncRNA from 10 species
GCGGCCAGCGCUGGGCGAGGGAGGGGCCCGUGUGGGUCGCUGACCAGGUGCACUCUGGUGUGGGCUGUGGGCGCUUGCUUGCCAGGGUUGGCCCGGCUGAGCUGUGUUUUCCAAGCCUGACUUCUGUAUUGCUGUCUGCCGGAGCAACGCAUGGGCUCCACUUGAGACAGCUCCCUGGGCGGCUUUUCCUGACCCUAGUUGUCUCAGUUCUCUCAGAAUGCUGAUAGGCAGGACCUCUGGGCACACAGCUGCAGCUCCCUCCUUUUCCUGCUUAUUUUCCUUUCAAAAACAGCUUCGUUGAGAUAAUUCACACACCAUGCGAUGCGUUCAUUUAAAGUGUAUAUUUCCGAAGCUGGGCGCAGUGGCUCACGCCUGUAAUCCCAGUACUUUGGGAGGUCAAGGCAGGCGGAUCACUUGAGGCCAGGUCAAAACCCCGUCUCUACGAAACCCCAUCUCUACUAAAAGCACAAAAGUUACCCGGGCAUGGUGGGGGUGGCGCCUGUAAUCCCAGCUACUUGGGAGGCUGAGGCAGGAGAAUCGCUUGAGCCUGGGAGGUGGAUGUUGCAGUAAGCUGAGAUCACGCCACAGCACUCCAGCCUGGGUGACAGAGCAAGACUGUCUCAAAAAAAUAUUAAUUAAUUAAUUAAAAUGAAGUGUAGAAGGCCAGGUUCAGUGGCUCACGCCUAUAAUCCCAACACUUUGGGAGGCCGAGGCCGGCGGAUCACCUGAGGUUGGGAGUUUGAGACCAGCCUGACCAACAUGGAGAAACCCCGUCUCUACUAAAAAUACAAAAUUAGCCGGGCGUGGUGGCACAUGCCUGUAAUCCCAGCUACUCGGGAGGCUGAGGCAGGAGAAUCGCUUGAAACUGGGAGGCGGAGGAUGCAGUGAGCCGAGAUCACGCCAUUGCACUCUAGCCUGGGCGACGAGUGAAACUCCGUCUCAAAAAAAAAAAAAAAAAAAUGAAGUGUAGAGGUAGAGGUCAGUGGUUUUUAGUAUUUAGUAUUCAUUGAGCUGUGCAGCCAUCACCACAAUCAAUUGUAAAACAUUUCAUCACCCGAAAAAGCCAUUCAACGACAAAAACAACCCAAUCUAAUCGCGGGCAAAGAACUUGAGUGGCCGUCUCUCCAAAGAAGAUGCACAGAUGGCCAGUGAGCACAUGAAGAGAUGCCUGGCGCCAUGAGUCAUUAGGGAAGUGCAAGUCAAAACCACACACGCGUUGGGAUGGCUGUUAAUUAAAAAAAAAAAAAAGUCACCGUGUUGGCAAGGAUGUCGAGAAAUUGAAACCUUUGUGCGUUGUAAAAUGGUCCAGCCUCUUUGGAAAGCAUGGCAGUUCGUCAGCGAGUUAAACAUAGAAUUAUACCCCCAAGAUUGAUAAGCAUAAAACCCAAAAGAAUCGAAAGUAGGAGCUCAGAUACAACAAUGUCCACAGCAGCAUCAUUCACAAGAGUGAAAGGCCGGAAGCAGCCCAAGCAUUCAUCAGCAGAUGAGUGGAAAAUAAAAUUUUCAUACAAGGGAAUAUUAUUCGGCCUUAAAAAGGGGUUGGCAGGGCUCGGUGGCUCACGCCUGUAAUCCUAGCACUUUGGGAGGCCAAGGCGGACAGAUCAUGAGGUCAGGAGUUCAAGACCAGCCUGGCCAAUAUGGUAAAACCCUGUCUCUACUAAAAAUACAAAAACUAGCCACACAUGGUGGUGGGCACCUGUAAUCCCAGCUACUCGGGAGGCUGAGGCAGGAGAAUCACUUGAACCUGGGAGUUGGUGGUUGCAGCGAGCUGAGAUUGCGCCACUGCACUCCAGCCUGGGCGACAGUGAGCCUCCGUCUCAAAAAAAACAAAAGGGGGGGGAGUGGGAUUCUCAUAUAAAUACCGCGUUUCUGUAAAUUCUGAUACAACAUGGAUGAACCCUGAAAACAUUCUGAACAUUUGCUUGCACUUUUUUACAUAGAUAUCUGUUUAUUUCUCUCAGCUAUAUCCUGCGAGUGAAAUUGCUCGGUCCGGGUAACGCUGUGUUUAACCUUUUGAGGAAUGGCCAGACUGUUUCCCAAAGAGGUUGAACCAUUUCGUAUUCCCACUAGGAAUGUAUGAGGGCUCCGGUUUUCCACACUCUCACCAGCACUUGUGAUCUGUCUGUGAUUCUAGCCAUCUUAGCGGGUGUGAAGUGGUGUCUUGUGGUUUUGACGUGCGCUUCCCUGUGGCUGAUGUGGAGCCUCUUUUCAUGUGGUUGGUGACUGUUCAUAGAAAUAGGUUUUUAGAGAAGUGUCUGUUGAAGUCCUUUGCCCAUUUUUGACAUUACUUGUCUAGUUAUGACUGACUUGUAAGAGUUCUUCAUAUGUUUCAGAUAUAAGUCCUUUAUCGGACACGUGACUUGCAAACGUUCUCUCCCAGCCUGUACACUUUCUACUUUUUUGAUGGUGUCCUUUGGGACACAAAAGCUUUAGCUUUUGAUGAAGUCUACUUUAUCUGUAGUUUUCUUUUGUUGCUUGCGC